CGUGCCUCCGGUCGCUCAGCCGCAGACCGCCUCUACCCGGGCCGGCUCUCACCUGUGUCGGAGGCGGUCUCCACCCUAACUGGGUCUGACCAAGUGCUCCAGGGGCCUUGGGGGAAGAGACAAGGGAAAAGGAAGAAGAGUCAAGGAGGAUUCCAUGCUUGGGUAACUGGCAAACCCUGCCUGUCCCUGGGCGGUGCAGGAGCAGAAGUCUGCCCAGGGAGUGCACUCCCUCCUGAGGGCUGACAACAGCCUGGAGCAGUCCCAGACCCUUGGCAAAGCCUCCAAAGGCCCAUGGAUCUUGACUUUGCUGUGCCCCUUCAUUUCUCACUGCCUUGACACCACUGGUCCCCCUGGCACCACAACUGGCAGUUUCUAGAACAGACCAUAACCUGCAGGUGUG